GUCUCAGUAGCAUAGUGGUUAGUGCACGGCCCCGGAAAGGUUGAGACGCGGGUUCGAAUCCCGCCACAGAUG
rnacentral:tRNA from 1 species